ACUCAAAUGAAUUGACGGGGGCCCGCACAAGCGGUGGAGCAUGCGGUUUAAUUCGAUGCAACGCGAAGAACCUUACCUACUCUUGACAUACUCAGAAUCCCCUGGAGACAGGGGAGUGCCUUCGGGAAUUGAGAUACAGGUGCUGCAUGGCUGUCGUCAGCUCGUGUCGUGAGAUGUUGGGUUAAGUCCCGUAACGAGCGCAACCCUCGUCCUUAGUUGCCAGCACGUAAUGGUGGGAACUCUAAGGAGACCGCCGGUGAUAAACCGGAGGAAGGUGGGGAUGAUGUCAAGUCAUCAUGGCCCUUAUGAGUAGGGCUACACGCGUGCUACAAUGGAUAGUACAAAGGGUUGCUAAGCCGCAAGGUGGAGCUAAUCCCAAAAAGCUAUUCGUAGUCCGGAUUGGAGUCUGCAACUCGACUCCAUGAAGUUGGAAUCGCUAGUAAUCGCGGAUCAGAACGCCGCGGUGAAUACGUUCUCGGGCCUUGCACACACCGCCCGU
rnacentral:rRNA from 1 species